UAAAGGCUUUCCGACAUCGUGUCGAGUCAUCACUUGUGUUAGCGCCUCUUUGUUUAAUUUUUAUUUUGGAUUUUUUUUAUCCCUUAAAGCUUCUCUGAACCAGAGAGACAAUAGAGCAUUUUCUCUGCAAGUGCUCUUCCGACGUCGAAAGCAGAAUUACGCCUGAAACUAGUUCGAAAGCGAUAUAUAUUUAAAUUCUCUUGUUGAUGAUGUUUCGGGAGUAGCAAUCGAGGCAAGGUUGUAAAGCUUUAAAGGAUAUUGUGUUCAUCAUGUAAUAAGCAUAUUUAAGAGAUUGGUUUAGGACCGUUGGAUUCGACUGCUCCUAGCCUCCUUGCCUCCUUUAACCCAACUACGG